rnacentral:tRNA from 1 species
GAGGGUUGGCUGAGUGGUCGAAAGCGCUUCACUGCUAACGAAGUAUGGGUUUAUAGCCCAUCAAGGGUUCGAAUCCCUUACCCUC